GCCUUCGUGGUGUAAUGGUUAGCACACUCGGUGCGUAUUCGAGAGGUCCAGGUUCGAGUCCAGGCGAGUGGUA
rfam:Stegodyphus mimosarum contig49286, whole genome shotgun sequence.